rnacentral:tRNA from 1 species
AUUUCAGUAGUUUAUUAAAAUAUUGAUUUUGUAGUUCAAAGAUGGCAUUUUGUUCUGAAAUA